ACAAAGUGUAGCUUAAAUAAUAAAGCAUCUAGUUUACACCUAGAAGAUUUCACAUAAAAUGACCACUUUGA
rnacentral:tRNA from 1 species